GUAACCUCUUCCCUGUCUUGUCUUUCAAGAGAAGUGAAGUGAGCCUUACAAGAAGCCGAAGGAAAAUGAGACUAGCUAAGACUAGGGAAAGAGCGGCUAGCUAACUAGCUGAUAGAGAUGGCAAUUAGGGUUGCUGUUUCCAUUAUUAGAAUUAUAAAGUUUCAAGACCACAAUAGAUCUAUAGGAUAAGAUCCUUAUAUUUACAGCGGAAUGAUAUACAAAGUAAACAGAUCUCAAUGAAUAAAAAAUAGUAUUUAUGGCUACGCAAACCGUUGAGGAUAAUUCUAGAUCUGGUCCAAGACGAACUGUUGUAGGUGAUUUAUUGAAACCAUUAAAUUCAGAAUAUGGUAAAGUAGCUCCGGGGUGGGGAACUACUCCCUUGAUGGGUGUUGCAAUGGCUCUAUUUGCGAUAUUUCUAUCUAUUAUUUUGGGUAGGAAGUGUAGUCGCCAAAAGGCGAGUUGAACGAAGGGCCUAGGGAAGUCGGGGCUGAGCAACCUUUCUCUAGCUUUUUCAGUGGGGGAACUUGGCCUGGGAGGGGCUUCAGAUGAGCUCCUUUGAGAUCUCAAAGCGGAAAUCCUCCGGUUUAUGGAACACUUACAGAAUAUCGAUGCACCGGCUAUUCCCCAUCAUGUGCAGCUCCUAGGAUCACAGCUUUUAUUGCAUCAACAGCUGAUUCAAUUGCUAGUCCUCCAACACCGCUUACGGAUGAAGUUCCGCUUGCAUUCUCUUCUUUUUCUUUAACUAUGUCAUAUGCUUUCACAAAAGGAAAGAAAGCUGGGCAGAAAAUGGUCGCUUGGAACUCCACUCUCACUAUGGGACAGAGUAGUUUUACUAUUUAUAUUUAUAGUAAGGGGAAGUAGGUCGAUUGAAUUGAUCCCUAUCCCUACCAGUCUUUGGAACUAAAUGGAACCCGGUCUCUUUGAUAUGUAGUUCCCAUUGGCACUGACCCAGAAGAACCACAUCUGUCUCAAGCUCAAGCCGACCCAACCUGAAGAAAACUACUGAAUCAGAAUCCGCUCUUGGGAUAGGAAUUCAGCCAAUCUUUCCGCAAAAUUCCCGGGAAAAUGAAACUGUAUCGAUUUCAAUGUCCGUCUAUAGGCAAAAAUUGACUUGCAAUAAAAAAUACGGGGUUUUAGCGAGUUGAUCGAUUUGAAUGUCCGUUUAUGGGCAGAAAUCUAUUUGCAACUAAUUUUCCCGAGAAAACGUGAAAUAAAGAAAGGAGUGAAGUAGCCCAUGCGUAUAUGGGAUCCGAACGGUUAAGAGUUAUGGCUUUUCGUUGAGGACUUACCCCUUAAACUUAAGGAGCAUUCGACUGAGAUUAGAUUAGAUUAGUGGGUAGCACUUGUUGAAUUGAAUAAGAUGUUCUUGCUCAGAAUUAGGGAAGGUGGGAUCCUAUCUUUAGGAAAAGAAAGGCCUAACGAAAGCUAGCACUCUUUUCAAGCCUAUAGCCUAUAUAUGAAUUAUUCUCAGCCAUCCAUAUGGGAGUUCCCCGCCAGCCUGUGGGAGUGCCACUAUCAAUAGGAAACAGACUUCUUUCCUCCUUAUUCUAUCAAACAAGCAAUUAAAUACCUUAGGAUAUCUCAUAUUUUACAUUAUUAAUCUAGCAUUGGACUCUUACCUGGACUAAGAACACUUCUAGUUCUAACAAUACGUUUCAUAACGAGCUAAACGUGCUACCAAAUGAAAUGGUCGAAGGUCUUUUCAGUUCUCCUUCCAAUUGCUGCAGUACUAAGGCCAGUUCUUACAGUUGGAGUCCUAUCCUAAUAGAAUCCCUUACCAGCCGAGCUUCCCACUAUAAUAAGCGAGUUGGAGAAAAAAGGUAAACCUAUCCAAUAGCAGUCCUAUGGUAAGCAAGCUCAGGUUCAGUAUACAUAGGAUAUGCUUUUUCCUAUCUCUGCUCUGGUUCAGAACCCUAUAACUAACUAGGAUUCCCUGGUAGAGCCAUAGAUAAAGAUUCUUUUGAUGUCUUCUCCGCUUGAGACGGAAAGACGGCUGCUCUGUGAACAACCCUAGUUGCUGGUCCUGUUCCUGCUGCUAACUGCCACCUCUGCUCCAAUACAUAAAGCAGCUGAAGCUAUUGAUUGUAGCAGCUCCGUCCCAUUCAUCACUGCUUUAUGUUAAAAAGAAAAGAGCUGCUCCUCUCCGAUCUAAGCCCUCUCUCUAGUCAGAAAUAGCGUCAGUAAGUUAAUCAGGAUAGAUCGACAGGCCAGCAAAGGCCUUCUACCGCAGCGGGCCCACAGGCCUAUGCCAAUCUCUUAGGGCAGGUUCUCUUUCAUCCGUCUUUCCUAGGUGCGCAUCUCCAUCUACUAAAAGUAAGGGUGGUUACCAUAGAUAGAUUGGGUCAUUCGUAACCGAUGCUUUAGCAUAAACUACAGCUCUUUCAUCAACUACAGCAAUAUCCGAUGUAGCACAUUCUCCCUCUUUCGCAUAUCCGAUGCUUUGCAAGCAACCUUGGUGUCAGCAUCGUCACUUGAGUCAUCCUAGAACAACCCUGCCUAUUCAAAAGAAGUACCUCACCUCACUUACGAAGAAGUAGUGGGAGCUGGGCUCUCGAUUCAGUUGGAUAGCCAGUCUACCUAGGUAAGAGUUACGUCGACCCUGCAGGGUAUCCGAGAGGGGCACAAUGCAGGCUGGAGAUCAUCUGGUAAGGAGAAUCCCCAGGCUUUAGAUAGUUUAGAGGGACUAGGCAAUGAGCCCGGAUAAUCGAAUGGAACUCUUCUUUCUUUCAGAACCUUUCUAAGGUCAUAUAUGAAUAAAGGUUAUAUAUAAACGAUCUGACAGGACUCAAUGGAGUUGCUUUUAAAGCGAGCGAGUAGUCUUUGCCAAAGUUAGGGGCUGUCAGGACUUAGAUAGAAAUUUCACAAUGAGAGAAGUGUCAGAGUUCGAAUAGAAGGUAAUGGAGUGAAGUACGUAGCCCUUAGGAAAGUGCACGAGAAAAGGAAAAAGAGUUGUGAGUUUGACUUUCUCUUUUACCACAAUAAGCCGUGUAGUUACCGGAUCGGGACAAAGAGUCGGUUUAGUCGGAGAUAAACAGAGUCGGGUCGAUGAACAGAGCCGAUAUCGACACCGAAAUAUAUCACUGUCUUUGACGCUUCUAGGCAAUAUGCCAUCGAUUACCUCAAAACUACUUUGAAAUUCAGCAUGACAUAGGUACCUACUUCGAAUCUUCCUUGAGAGCUGGGAUAAGUACGGAAUUUCACUCUGGUGGAAUCGCUUCUAUCCUUAGCCCGGUACCGAGGGAGGGCUUUCCGAGACCAAUGCUAUCAAGAAGUCACUAGACUGACUAUUAUUGCAUCGAGAAAGAGUGAAAAGAUCUCCCCUCAAGAACUUCUGUUAUUCUUAUUCUUUUUUGCCGCUAGCCCUUCCUCUCUUUCAACGCUUGGCCACUCGAUUGCUAUUGUCGCCUUGGAGCCCGCCCUUGGCUGGUUUCACCCCUUCUCUAGUAGCCUUGCCUGCAACCUUGAGAAAUUCUUGUGUGACUUAUGAAUGAAAGGAAAUUCCUUGCUUUAGAAAAGAGAAGAGCGCCGCAACAGCUAAUUCAUCUAAAUCAAUGGCACGUGAGGUGAGGGAAGGAAGGGCGGGAUGAAGCAAGCAGCCAAUCCCUUGCUGGUUAAAAAUUGCAGCAUCAGUAUUAAUCUUAUAAACACCAUGGGGUGGGGCCUGCCAACCUAUAGGUGUUUGCACUAUUUUUAGCUUCUCCUUCUUAUACUCUUCGAAGAAGCUGAUUGCUUUGUUCACCACAUCCACAGGAUAGUUCUGUAUGUCCUGGAACAGCAGCAAAUUUCUAUCACUCCAUAAAGCCCAUGCAACUACUAGCAUAAGUUCCAGCUGCUCUUCAUCAAGACACUUCCCCAUCUCCUUCACCCAAUCUGAGAAGUUGAGAGCCUGCAUCUGUUGAGUAUGAAGGGCUAAUGGGCAGAGUAGCCAAAUGCCAGAUGCCCAGGGGCAGCCCUUUAAAACAUGAAUGGUAGAUUCAGGCUCCAUUCCACAUCUGUCACAAAGCAGGUCAACCUCCACCUUUCUUUUCCCAUUUCACUCGUCUUGCAUAAAAAAACCACCUAAAUCCACAUCUAAAAGGGAGCCCGCGAGAAAAAUGCCUCCUCUAUGAGAUCUCGGUGCUACUGCCCAGCCCCACCUUAAUUUUUUCGAAUUACGAUCGACUUUUUUUUCCUAAGCUAAGAUCUAGGGGGGAGGAGCUCUUCUUGCGUAGUAUACCUUUUACCAGAAAUUCCAGGCUCGUAUUAAUAACCAGUAUAACCCCGGACCUUUUGAGCAAGCGCUAUGGAGAUAGCGAAUGCUAGCGUUAGCCCAGCCAUCCACAUUGCAAGAGCUCUGGGUGUUCUUUCCAUUGAAGCUUCACUGGCCACCUCCCUGGCUUGCUCACUGAGGUGGUCUACUAGCUGCCUUACUUCUGCGGAAGAACUUGCCGGUUCCCCGAUUUGCGUUGCCUCCGCCAGCUGCUGUAACUCAGGGAUGCUUGGGGGUGUCUGUGCUAGACAGUCCCACCAUAUCGCGCACCCAAGAUAUAGCGCUGGUAAGAUUAAGCUGAGAACUUCCGUGACGUGCUGCCCUUGCCCCGACCCCGCCUGAGUGCUCUGUUGCCCCUGGUGUACCUGUAGCUCUCUGGUCUUGACCCACGGCGAGCUUUUUCUCUCGUAAUGCCCCGUAGGCCUCUCUCGGGUGACCUAAGCAUUUGGUACUUCGAUCUUUUAUUAGGUUGGCGCCAGGUAAAUAAGGGGCUCAAGAAUCCAUUCCCGCCGGCAUCUUAGUAUAUGCCAUUCCUUCCGUUCCUAGGAAAUUCGACCUGAGGCCAAGAAUCUGUAUAUGAAAAAUCACUAGAUGACAAUCGAAGUCCCUCUUUCUUUAUUCAAAAAGGCUUUUCGCCCUCCACUUUGUGCCUUGAGGCUGGCUUUGAGGAAGAAAAGCUGCUGUCAACUCCAAAACCUCUGGGUCGGAUCCUGCCCCACGUGGUCCUCACUUCAGGUCCCACAUUUCUCUU
rnacentral:lncRNA from 1 species